CAUGUAUCCUUUACAUCACUCGAUCUCUCUAUCCUCUCGAACUCAAUUACUCAAAGAGCCUGGCACUCCGGUCUCGAUUUGACAGAGCCACCUCGGCAGCACACGCUGGAGGCUGCUCACGCCUGGCAGUCUGGCACCAGCGACCGCUUGUGAGGCCUUCCAGUCUUCCACGGUGGUGCGCUGGGGAGCACGAGGUGGCUUGCGAGGGCGCAGGCACACAGCGGAGCGCGAGCCCGUCCAUGGCUCGCUGCUCUUCCUCGCCGCCUCGCCCGCGUUUGCCGGAGUGGAGGUGCAUCGCUGUCUUCCGGCGGUAUGCUUGGUACCCUUCUCCCCCUCGAUUGGCUGCUGCUGGUGCCAGGCGUGUCCAAUCGCCACCGUCAAUGUAAUGUGGACGGUGAGGGGUGCGCGGGAUAGGAGGUGCGACAGCGGAGGGAAGCAGGGAGGGGCGGGCGCUGUGCACCAGGCACACGCGGUUCAUGCUCUCAGCUCAUCACCGAUGGACUCCUCGCCGUGGGACUUCAACUGCCUCGACCUCCUAGUCAUCGCUGGGCUAUCCUCGCUGCGGAACCUCAACCUCAACCGACGGCAGCGGCAACGACGAGCGUUGAGGCCGAGGGCUUCUAUAUUCUUGCAGGGGCACGGCAGCCCAGGAGCCCACCGCGCGCACGUGGCACGCCAGAGAAAGGAAACGGUGUCGCCAAUCCUGGUCUCCGGAGGCGAAGCGGAUUAGGAGAACGACGUGAUUCGACGGGCUGGCAAGAGAUGGAGGACAGGCGGACGUCGGAUCAGGAACAGACGAAAAAAAUUGGCAGAGACACUGCUUGCUUUAAUAAUAGGUAUAGAUAUAGAUAUAGAUAUAGAAUUAUGGAACGACAGUCCAACCAUAAAUACCACAUGUACCUCACUAAUUGAAUUAUGCAAAGCCGGCGGCUCUUUUAUUUA